UAGUGGGUCAAAGAUUUACAUAUAGGUCAGGAAUCUAUAUAUGGGCCAAAUCCAUGGGCUUCAAGAUUCAAAUCAACAUCAAAGGGCUUUCUUUAUGGAUCUGAUUAAAUUUAAUGCGCUUGGUUCAGUGCUAAAUUUGGUUAUUCUCUUCACUUCCUACUUCCGCUCAACUUCCUUAUUCAUAUAUUAUAAACACCCUUUUUCUUUAUUGGAUAUGCUUCAUUUUCACAUGUUUCUCUUCUUGGCUAACACUUGUAUUUCUUCCUACCCACUUCUUAAGAAUGUGCUUCAAACUUUCAGAAAAUUUUAUAACUAUUUUCCACCUUACUGCUUCCUCAUUUAUCACAUAUCAUUAAGGACUAUUAAACAAACUCCUGGCCAGUGAGUAAAAAAUUUACACAUGGGUCAGGAAUCCGUAUAUGGGAAAAAAUAUAUGGAUUUCAGGAUUCAGAUCAAUAUCAAAUGGGCUUUCUCUAUGGGUUUGACCAAAUUUAAUUAGCUUGGUCAAUGCUAAAUUUGGAUAUAAACAAUUAUCCCUCGUGUAUAAUAAGGUUGAAAGCCUUAUCUAUAUGCGCAGAUCCUUAAAAAAUUAUUUUUAACCUCUAUUAUAAAUAAUUAACGCAAAAAAUAGAGAAAGAAUUAAUUAAUAAUGGAUUCUUUUAAUAUUUAGAAAUAUUUAAAACAUAAAAUAUUUAAUUUUAAGUCCCAAAUAUUCUAUAAAAGAUCCUAUCAAAAAUCAAUUUUAUAGCCACUUAAUUUUUUCCAAAAUAAUUCAAUUUUUUUAAUUCCAAUUAGAAAUAAUCCAAUUAAAAUAAAAAAAAAUUCUUAAUUCUCCGACUAAACAACCCCUUACAUCUUUCACCAAUUUAAUUUCGUCUAAACUAUUAAAGGAUAUAUCCUAUUUUAAUUGAAAUUUGUUUAGAAAACAAAUCCUAUUAAAAUAAGAAUAAAACCCUUUAAUUGUUUCUUCUAAACCGAACACUUCCUUACCAAAUUCUACACCAUCUAGAAUCUCUCCAAAUUUACAGCUUUCCCACCUUAUAAAUAUUUUUUUCUUAUUUUUUUAUUUUCUUCUCCUUUUCUUUUCUUAACAACCAAACACCAUCAAAACUUUUCCAACCACCGGCUACCACCUCAUCUCCGGUCACCACAGCGCUGCCAGCCACCACCAGAGGCCGGCUAACCGCCUAUCACCGGCAGCCUAAAAAAAUCAGCCCCUCCAUUAGUUACAUUUUGUGCAAUUUUCUUAAAGGAAAUAGGUUUUCCAGCUUUAAUUCUUGCUUCUGAUGGAAGAAAAGUAUUUCUUUGACCUCAAUUGGUAUGUCGCAUAUGCUUUGCUUUCCAAUCAGACAUAUUAUUGCUUCAUAUCUGUUAAUGAGUUUCUCUUUUUAUAAAAAUAUGAGCAAUAUUUAAAAGGAUCUUGAUUCAUGUCAUUCAAUAUUACAAUAACUUAUGGACAUGGUAACUUAUCCAUUUGAAGUAUGUUGCAUGUGCAUGUUCUUUCUCUCCUAUUUACUAUGAACUAUUUUUUAUUGUCAUUUAUAUUGAAUAAUUAAUCAUUUGUUGGCUUCA